rnacentral:rRNA from 3 species
CGACGGUUGUCCCGGUUUAAGCGUGUAGGCUGGUUUUCCAGGCAAAUCCGGAAAAUCAAGGCUGAGGCGUGAUGACGAGGCACUACGGUGCUGAAGCAACAAAUGCCCUGCUUCCAGGAAAAGCCUCUAAGCAUCAGGUAACAUCAAAUCGUACCCCAAACCGACACAGGUGGUCAGGUAGAGAAUACCAAGGCGCUUGAGAGAACUCGGGUGAAGGAACUAGGCAAAAUGGUGCCGUAACUUCGGGAGAAGGCACGCUGACACGUAGGUGAAGUGAUUUACUCAUGGAGCUGAAGUCAGUCGAAGAUACCAGCUGGCUGCAACUGUUUAUUAAAAACACAGCACUGUGCAAACACGAAAGUGGACGUAUACGGUGUGACGCCUGCCCGGUGCCGGAAGGUUAAUUGAUGGGGUCAGCGCAAGCGAAGCUCCUGAUCGAAGCCCCGGUAAACGGCGGCCGUAACUAUAACGGUCCUAAGGUAGCGAAAUUCCUUGUCGGGUAAGUUCCGACCUGCACGAAUGGCGUAAUGAUGGCCAGGCUGUCUCCACCCGAGACUCAGUGAAAUUGAACUCGCUGUGAAGAUGCAGUGUACCCGCGGCAAGACGGAAAGACCCCGUGAACCUUUACUAUAGCUUGACACUGAACAUUGAGCCUUGAUGUGUAGGAUAGGUGGGAGGCUUUGAAGUGUGGACGCCAGUCUGCAUGGAGCCGACCUUGAAAUACCACCCUUUAAUGUUUGAUGUUCUAACGUGGACCCGUUACCCGGGUUGCGGACAGUGUCUGGUGGGUAGUUUGACUGGGGCGGUCUCCUCCUAAAGAGUAACGGAGGAGCACGAAGGUUGGCUAAUCCUGGUCGGACAUCAGGAGGUUAGUGCAAUGGCAUAAGCCAGCCUGACUGCGAGCGUGACGGCGCGAGCAGGUGCGAAAGCAGGUCAUAGUGAUCCGGUGGUUCUGAAUGGAAGGGCCAUCGCUCAACGGAUAAAAGGUACUCCGGGGAUAACAGGCUGAUACCGCCCAAGAGUUCAUAUCGACGGCGGUGUUUGGCACCUCGAUGUCGGCUCAUCACAUCCUGGGGCUGAAGUAGGUCCCAAGGGUAUGGCUGUUCGCCAUUUAAAGUGGUACGCGAGCUGGGUUUAGAACGUCGUGAGACAGUUCGGUCCCUAUCUGCCGUGGGCGCUGGAGAACUGAGGGGGGCUGCUCCUAGUACGAGAGGACCGGAGUGGACGCAUCACUGGUGUUCGGGUUGUCAUGCCAAUGGCACUGCCCGGUAGCUAAAUGCGGAAGAGAUAAGUGCUGAAAGCAUCUAAGCACGAAACUUGCCCCGAGAUGAGUUCUCCCUGAGACUUAGAGUCUCCUGAAGGAACGUUGAAGACGACGACGUUGAUAGGCCGGGUGUGUAAGCGCAGCGAUGCGUUGAGCUAACCGGUACUAAUGAACCGUGAGGCUUAACCUUACAACGCCGAAG